AGUUUUAGGUCAGUUAAGUCUCCUCAGGUAUUACUUUUGGGGCCAUAGAGCCUCUUAGCUCUUUUUGUUCUCUUUGUCAGAUGUGUCAUCUACCAGGAUGGGUCACAGUCUGUGCUGCACCAUGUGGUGCUCUUUGGAAGCAUGGGAACAAUUUUUUCCCUUAGAGACUGUAAUGGAUUGACCAAUGGCCAGCUUGUAACACCAGCUGAAUUCAAUCGACAUGGUCUGGGUGUGGUGGAUCCACCUGAAAGUUGUUACCAAUAGCCAUAAAAAGAAAGCUGGAGGGGAAGAUCUCAGCCUGUUGAUUUUCUAGAAGAAGCUUGCUGAGGAUGGUUUUCCUGUUGCCAACUAGGCUGUUCUCAUUGGAGGAAGAGCUCGGGGCCUUGCUGUCACUGGGAAUGGCUGCUGUUUUCUUCAGGGGAGCUCUGAAUUUCACUGUGAGCAUCACUUUCUGGCUCCAAUGUGGAUCCCUCAGCUUGGUGGCACAAAUUCUUCAUCUCACCAGUGCAGAUUUCUGGCUUCCACCACUGGCCUUUGUGCUUUCCAGGUGA
rnacentral:lncRNA from 1 species